UACGAAGGGUGCAAGCGUUACUCGGAAUUACUGGGCGUAAAGCGCGCGCAGGCGGUUCUUCAAGUCAGAGGUGAAAGCCCAGAGCUCAACUCUGGAAUGGCCUUUGAGACUAGAGAACUUGGGUACGGGAGAGGUGAGUGGAAUUCCGAGUGUAGAGGUGAAAUUCGUAGAUAUUCGGAAGAACACCAGUGGCGAAGGCGGCUCACUGGCCCGUUACCGACGCUCAGGCGCGACAGCGUGGGGAGCAAACAGG
rnacentral:rRNA from 1 species